GGUCCAGACUCCUACGGGAGGCAGCAGUGGGGGAUAUUGCACAAUGGGGGAAACCCUGAUGCAGCGACGCCGCGUGAGUGAAGAAGUAUUUCGGUAUGUAAAGCUCUAUCAGCAGGGAAGAAAAUGACAGUACCUGACCAAGAAGCCCCGGCUAACUACGUGCCAGCAGCCGCGGUAAUACGUAGGGGGCAAGCGUUAUCCGGAUUUACUGGGUGUAAAGGGAGCGUAGACGGUUAUGUAAGUCUGGAGUGAAAGCCCGGGGCCCAACCCCGGGACUGCUUUGGAAACUUUUUUGCUGGAGUACCGGAGAGGUAAGCGGAAUUCCUAGUGUAGCGGUGAAAUGCGUAGAUAUUAGGAGGAACACCAGUGGCGAAGGCGGCUUACUGGACGGUAACUGACGUUGAGGCUCGAAAGCGUGGGGAGCAAACAGGAUUAGAUACCCCUGUAAAC
rnacentral:rRNA from 1 species